rnacentral:rRNA from 1 species
CCUCCAAUCAGUGAAACUGAUCUCCCCGUGAAGAAGCGGGGAUACAAAUAUAAGACGAGAAGACCCCAUGGAGCUUUAAACCCAACAGCACCCGUUUAUUUUCAUCCUCACAUAAGUUAGGUUAUGCCUGUUUGGUUUUAGGUUGGGGUGACCACGGAGUAUAAAACAACCUCCAUGAAAAAAGGACCAAAAAUCCUUAUUAGAGAAAGACAUUUCUAAAAUUAAUAAAUUAAUUUUUAAUGAUCCGAUAUUCGAUCAACGAACCAAGUUACCCUGGGGAUAACAGCGCAAUCCACUUCAAGAGCUCCUAUCGACAAGUGGGUUUACGACCUCGAUGUUGGAUCAGGGUAUCCUAGUGGUGCAGCAGCUACUAACGGUUCGUUUGUUCAACGAUUAAAACCCU